GACAGCCCUGACCCAAAGAAUGACGUUCCUUUCUCCCUCCAUUUGUCCCCUUUGCUCAUCCCUCCUUCCUCUUCUCCACUUUGCUCAUCCCUCCUUCCUCUUCUCCACUUUGCUCAUCCCUUCUUCCCCUCCUUCCUUCCACUCUGCUCAUCCCUCAUUCCUCCUUCCCUUUGUCCCCUUUGCUCAUUCCUCCUUCCUUUUGUCCCCUUUUCUCAUUCCUCCUUCCUCUUCUCCACUCUGCUCAUCCCUCCUUUCCUUUGUCCACUCUGCUCAUCCCUCAUUCCUCCUUCCUUUUGUCCCCUUUUCUCAUUCCUCCUUUCCUCUUCUCCCCUCUGCUCAUCCCUCCUGCCCUUUGCCCAGCUCAGUGUAUUAUCCACCACCUGCUGCUUUUCUGGGAUGGCUUUUCCGCACGAGUAGACAGAAAGAUCUGUCAGUGUUUCUGUGCUCUGAGGGAAGAUCAAGACCUGAACCUCGAGACUGAAGAGAAAUUAGUGCCAGGUACCUCUGGACUGCCUUUCCUGGAAUGUUUGGGAUGCAAGGGACCUUAAAUCCCAUCUCUUCCCAUGGGCAGGGAUACCUCUCAGUAGAGCAGGAUGCUCCAAACCCUGUCCAACCUGGCUUUGGUCACUUCCAGGGAUGGAUCCCGAAACCUGGCUGAUCCCACAGCACAAUCCAGCUCAUUUCUGAGAGCAUCAACAUGUCCAAAGGCUCCUGAGGCUGAGGAAAGGUGGAAUUUCACUUCAGAGCAGCCAAUACCUGUGUGCUGAGGAAGACACAAAACCCCAGAUGAAAAGGGGCAGGGCUAAAAGUCAUGGGAAGAAGAAAAGAAAAUUUACAAAUGCCAGAUCCAGCGCAUGGGAAUCCUGCCACGAGCAUGGGACAUCCCCACAGUGCCAAAACUGCUGCAGGAAACUGCAGCCACCAGCAAAAACACAGCAACCACGUGCCAAGAGAUUGUUUCAGAAGUGAAACCGCCAGAAGCCAAAUCGCAGUUUUAAGGCACAAUUUACACCAUAAAUAUUUGGGUUUCCAGCAAAAAGGGAGGGAGGAGAAAUCCUGGAAACACGACACUGGAGGCAGAGCAAUCUGCUGGUUUAAUUAACCCACAUGACAGAGGGCAUGAAUUUUUUUUUUCCUCUCACAUUAUUAAACACAAAAAUAUCCAAACUCCUGAGCUGUGGAACGGGAAUGAUUAAAAUCCCAUUACUCCAAGAUUGUUUCUUCCCCAUCCACAGAAAUUCCCAACAUCAACUUGUCCUGUGGAGGAGUCUUGAGCUCCUCAAGUUCAUGGGGAAAACUUCAAUGACCUUCAUAAUCUCAAAGCAUCUCCUAAUCAAAAGUGAUUUCAUUAAACCAGUGGCAAUCUGUCGGCAGCCUGAGAGCCCAGACAGGGAAACACCGGUUAAAACAAAGCUGGCAAAACACAUUAAAAAUUAAUUGACUUCUUGAUUUUUAUCAAAAUUGAAAAAAAGGCUCAAUCCUACACCAAAUGAUACAGCCCCUGAAUGGCAGCAAUUAAAGUUCCUCCUUCCAAUUACAGCUUUUUACAGCAUUUUAAUCAAUUUUUGUACAGCAAAUAAGCGUAGAGUUUAACCCUAAAUCGAAUCAGCAGGGUGAAAAUCAUAAUCCUGGAGCAUGACAUGCAAGAAUGAAACUUAAACAAACUAAACAAAAUGACAGGAAAGUUCCUGUAGAUCAUUUUGGACUUGUAUUUAAGGCCACUGGAGGGGAAUUCAUAAACAGAUCUGGGACUUGCCUAUCAACAUGACCUCACCUAUGCAAAUAUUUAUUCAAACAUUUGGGCACAUUGCAGGGGAUUUUAGAUUAGAGACCAAAGGAAAUUCCUAUAAAAGGAAAACCGAGCCAGCAGUUUCUCUUUAAAAACUGCAAACCCUCAAGGACCUCACCUUACAACUGGGCUGGAACAACCAGAGAAACUCCCAAGCUGUUGUUUGAUUUAUUCCUACCUUUUAUAAAAUCCCAAGCCAUUAAUCCUGAACGGCCUUGACUCAAAAGCCCGAUAGAUAAAUUUUCAUUGCUGAGAUCACUUAAGUAGUUCAGUAUCACAGGGAUGGGACUGGAAUUAGAAUUAGCAGAUUAAAAAACAAACCAAAAAUGCACUAAAAUUGUAAAAUUGCCAGUUUUCUCUUCUUUCAGCACAGCACAAACACCUUGUGCUGCGAGGAGCAGAGGGCUGGAUUUGAAUGCACAGCAGGUUUGUUUAACCACAGCUGGCACAGUGUCCUCUCCCCCAGGCCUCACCUCAGCAUUCCCAUUUCCAGAGCCCCACAGCAGCUCCUCAGGACUCUCCACCAUUAUCUACUGACAUUUCCCUUUUUUUAAUAUUUUUUUGUGUCUUUCUAAGUUCAUCAGUAACCAGAGACUUCUGCCAGCACUCAGUCCUGCUGAUUUCAAGAUCCUGAAACCCACCGUUCCCUCCUUCCCCAUUCCAGCUCCCCAGCCUUUCCCUACACUGGGAAUAAAAAAUAAGAAUAAAAAGGUGCA
rnacentral:lncRNA from 1 species